GGACGAACGCUGGCGGCGUGCUUAACACAUGCAAGUCGAACGGAAAGGCCCUGCUUUUGUGGGGUGCUCGAGUGGCGAACGGGUUAGUAACACGUGAGUAACCUGCCCUUGACUUUGGGAUAACUGCAGGAAACUGGGGCUAAUACCGGAUAGGAGCCCCUGCUGCAUGGUGGGGGUUGGAAAGUUUCGGCGGUUGGGGAUGGACUCGCGGCUUAUCAGCUUGUUGGUGGGGUAGUGGCUUACCAAGGCUUUGACGGGUAGCCGGCCUGAGAGGGUGACCGGCCACAUUGGGACUGAGAUACGGCCCAGACUCCUACGGGAGGCAGCAGUGGGGAAUAUUGCACAAUGGGCGGAAGCCUGAUGCAGCAACGCCGCGUGCGGGAUGACGGCCUUCGGGUUGUAAACCGCUUUCGCCUGUGACGAAGCGUGAGUGACGGUAAUGGGUAAAGAAGCACCGGCUAACUACGUG
rnacentral:rRNA from 1 species